GAUAAACGCUGGCGGCGUGCCUAAUACAUGCAAGUCGAGCGAACGGACGAGAAGCUUGCUUCUCUGAUGUUAGCGGCGGACGGGUGAGUAACACGUGGAUAACCUACCUAUAAGACUGGGAUAACUUCGGGAAACCGGAGCUAAUACCGGAUAAUAUUUUGAACCGCAUGGUUCAAAAGUGAAAGACGGUCUUGCUGUCACUUAUAGAUGGAUCCGCGCUGCAUUAGCUAGUUGGUAAGGUAACGGCUUACCAAGGCAACGAUGCAUAGCCGACCUGAGAGGGUGAUCGGCCACACUGGAACUGAGACACGGUCCAGACUCCUACGGGAGGCAGCAGUAGGGAAUCUUCCGCAAUGGGCGAAAGCCUGACGGAGCAACGCCGCGUGAGUGAUGAAGGUCUUCGGAUCGUAAAACUCUGUUAUUAGGGAAGAACAUAUGUGUAAGUAACUGUGCACAUCUUGACGGUACCUAAUCAGAAAGCCACGGCUAACUACGUGCCAGCAGCCGCGGUAAUACGUAGGUGGCAAGCGUUAUCCGGAAUUAUUGGGCGUAAAGCGCGCGUAGCGGUUUUUUAAGUCUGAUGUGAAAGCCCACGGCUCAACCGUGGAGGGUCAUUGGAAACUGGAAAACUUGAGUGCAGAAGAGGAAAGUGGAAUUCCAUGUGUAGCGGUGAAAUGCGCAGAGAUAUGGAGGAACACCAGUGGCGAAGGCGGCUUUCUGGUCUGUAACUGACGCUGAUGUGCGAAAGCGUGGGGAUCAAACAGGAUUAGAUACCCUGGUAGUCCACGCCGUAAACGAUGAGUGCUAAGUGUUAGGGGGUUUCCGCCCCUUAGUGCUGCAGCUAACGCAUUAAGCACUCCGCCUGGGGAGUACGACCGCAAGGUUGAAACUCAAAGGAAUUGACGGGGACCCGCACAAGCGGUGGAGCAUGUGGUUUAAUUCGAAGCAACGCGAAGAACCUUACCAAAUCUUGACAUCCUUUGACAACUCUAGAGAUAGAGCCUUCCCCUUCGGGGGACAAAGUGACAGGUGGUGCAUGGUUGUCGUCAGCUCGUGUCGUGAGAUGUUGGGUUAAGUCCCGCAACGAGCGCAACCCUUAAGCUUAGUUGCCAUCAUUAAGUUGGGCACUCUAAGUUGACUGCCGGUGACAAACCGGAGGAAGGUGGGGAUGACGUCAAAUCAUCAUGCCCCUUAUGAUUUGGGCUACACACGUGCUACAAUGGACAAUACAAAGGGCAGCGAAACCGCGAGGUCAAGCAAAUCCCAUAAAGUUGUUCUCAGUUCGGAUUGUAGUCUGCAACUCGACUACAUGAAGCUGGAAUCGCUAGUAAUCGUAGAUCAGCAUGCUACGGUGAAUACGUUCCCGGGUCU
rnacentral:rRNA from 1 species